rnacentral:precursor_RNA from 1 species
UGCAUCCUGAUCCACCCCCCCACCCCAUGCUUGCCUUGCUGCAUCCGUCGUCCUCGGUCCAUGAGAUCUGAGGCUCAUGUAGCCGAUGCGUCUUUUUUUUUCCUUUCUCUUCCUGCUGUUUCUCCAAGAUUCAAGUUGGCUGGCCGUGCUUAUCCGUGCAGGAGCUGAAGCAGGUUUCUGCCCCUGUUGGUGGUGAUGGUAUCUAUCGGUACCCGUACUUUGCGUCGCUUUAUUCCCAUCUUUGCUGGUGAGGUGCUAUGUCAGUGUUGUCACACUCGUUUAUUUUGUUCUCAUAUUUUUCGGUUUCCUUGUUCGUACCGGCGGCGCGUGCAUUUUGCGGUGGGGCUCCUGGAUCUCGCUCUGGACGGAGGCACGGAGAGCUUCCCUUGCUUCCUCAACCUGCUGGUAGAUUCACGCCAACCGGCUACCGUGCUCUCUAUCGCUUGCUGGCUGAGCGCUCAUCGUCACACAUCGCGCGCGGCAGCUUCUAUCUUAUGAUUCAUCUGUACUUUUGACUGACAUGUGAUGUGCCAUGAAGCUCUGACCCAGAUCUUUGCAUGCGUUCGCGCAGUGCUCCUGUGCCGUUCGAAGACGUUCAGAGCAGUGCUCUCGCGACGGUUCAGGGUGUCUUGCUAGCCAUCUGUAAGGUCUGGGAUGCAGGUUGUCGUUCUAGCAGAAACAUCAUUCGCCGUAGAUAUGAUGCGCCAAGUUUAUUAUUCUUGUUUGGGCUAGGGAUCUUGCGUUUUUUUAGCUAGAGAAGUCUUGUAACCAAAUGCAGCGUAAUGGAAAACGAGGUAUCUAUGCGGCAGUGCCACUUGGAUACUGUG